GACGUAGGGCGCGAGCGUUGUCCGGAUUUAUUGGGCGUAAAGAGCUCGUAGGCGGUUUGUCGCGUCUGCUGUGAAAACCUAAGGCUCAACCUUGGGCUUGCAGUGGGUACGGGCAGACUAGAGUGCGGAAGGGGCAACUGGAAUUCCUGGUGUAGCGGUGGAAUGCGCAGAUAUCAGGAGGAACACCGAUGGCGAAGGCAGGUCUCUGGGCCAUUACUGACACUGAGAAGCGAAAGCAUGGGGAGCGAACAGG
rnacentral:rRNA from 1 species